CCUACGGGUGGCAGCAGUGGGGGAUAUUGCACAAUGGGGGGAACCCUGAUGCAGCGACGCCGCGUGGGUGAAGAAGCGCCUCGGCGCGUAAAGCCCUGUCAGCAGGGAAGAAAAUGACGGUACCUGAAGAAGAAGCCCCGGCCAACUACGUGCCAGCAGCCGCGGUAAUACGUAGGGGGCAAGCGUUAUCCGGAUUUACUGGGUGUAAAGGGGGCGCAGGCGGGGAUGCAAGCCAGGAGUGAAAGCCCGGGGCCCAACCCCGGGACUGCUCUUGGAACUGCGUGGCUAGAGUGCAGGAGGGGCAGGCGGAAUUCCUGGUGUAGCGGUGAAAUGCGUAGAUAUCAGGAGGAACACCGGUGGCGAAGGCGGCCUGCUGGACUGCAACUGACGUUGAGGCCCGAAAGCGUGGGGAGCAAACAGGAUUAGAUACCCUUGUAGUC
rnacentral:rRNA from 1 species